AACUCUUCCCGAGCUUGAGCAUACAGUCACCAACCUGGAAAAUACAUGGAAACAGAAGGAGGAGGUACCUUCAUAAAUCCAUGAUAAUUAAAUACAUUCAUAUGUGCUUUUCCCUUGCAGUUAAUACCUGUCUGAUGCAAGCAGUUCAUGCGAUUCAAAAUGCAGAUUCUCAUCAAUGUAUGCAGAUGCUGUGAUCGGGUCCCCAAUAUUGUCUUCCCACACAAGACACCCAGAUUCCUGAAAUAAAUUCCAAAACAAAAGUCUUGACUCAUGGUACUGAAGUUUUGAGACGAGUACCACAAAAACAACUGAUCCUCAUGAACGUCCCUAUCAAUGUCCUUGCAGUAAUAAAACUCAAC
rnacentral:lncRNA from 1 species